UACAUAGGGUGCAAGCGUUUGUCCGGAUUUAUUGGGCGUAAAGAGCUCGUAGGCGGCACGGUAAGUCAGAAGUUAAAACGCAGAGCUCAACUCUGCGUCGCUUUUGAUACUGCCGAGCUUGAGUAUGGCAGGGGAGAUUGGAAUUCCACGUGUAGCGGUGGAAUGCGCAGAUAUUGGGAGGAACACCAGUGGCGAAGGCGCUACCUGGACCGGUUCUGACGCUGAUGCGCGAAAGCGUGGGUAGCAAACAGG
rnacentral:rRNA from 1 species